GACAGAGGUCCCGAGCGUUAGGCGGAAUCACUGGGCUUAAAGCGUGUGUAGGCGGAUCGUUAAGUGCCUUGUGAAAUCCCACGGCUUAACCGUGAAACUGCUUGGCAUACUGGCGGUCUUGAGCCACUUAGGGGCAACCGGAACAAAUGGUGGAGCGGUGAAAUGCGUAGAUAUCAUUUGGAACGCCAAUGGUGAAAACAGGUUGCUGGGAGUGUGCUGACGCUGAGACACGAAAGCCAGGGGAGCGAACGGG
rnacentral:rRNA from 1 species